rnacentral:rRNA from 1 species
UACGAAGGGGGCUAGCGUUGCUCGGAAUUACUGGGCGUAAAGGGCGCGUAGGCGGAUACUUAAGUCGGUGGUGAAAUCCUGGAGCUCAACUCCAGAACUGCCUUCGAUACUGGGAAGCUCGAGUCCGGGAGAGGUGAGUGGAACUGCGAGUGUAGAGGUGAAAAUUCGUAGAUAUUCGCAAGAACACCAGUGGCGAAGGCGGCUCACUGGCCCGAUACUGACGCUGAGGCACGGAAAGCGA